UACGGGGGGGGUAAGCGUUGUUCGGAAUUACUGGGCGUAAAGGGCUCGUAGGCGGCCAACUAAGUCAGACGUGAAAUCCCUCAGCUCAACUGAGGAAGUGCGCCCGAAACUGCAGAGCUUGAGUACCGGAGAGGAUGGUGGAAUUCCCCAAGUAGAGGUGAAAUUCGUAGAUAUGGGGAGGAACACCGGUGGCGAAGGCGACCAUCUGGACGGAUACUGACGCUGAGACGCGAAAGCGUGGGUAGCAAACAGG
rnacentral:rRNA from 1 species